CCAAUAGCGUAUAUUAAAGUUGUUGCAGUUAAAAAGCUCGUAGUUGAAUUUCGGGGUUAGUAGGUUGGUCAUGCCUCUGGUAUGUACUGGUCUCACUGAUUCCUCCUUCCUGAUGAGCCGUAAUGCCAUUAAUUUGGUGUUGCGGGGAAUUUGGACUGUUACUUUGAGAAAAUUAGAGUGUUUAAAGCAAGCUAACGCUUGAAUACAUUAGCAUGGAAUAAUGAAAUAGGACGUUCGAUCCUAUUUUGUUGGUUUCUAGGAUUGACGUAAUGAUUAAUAGGGAUAGUUGGGGGCAUUAGUAUUCAAUUGUCAGAGGUGAAAUUCUUGGAUUUAUUGAAGACUAACUACUGCGAAAGCAUUUGCCAAGGAUGUUUUCAUUAAUCAAGAACGAAAGUUAGGGGAUCGAAGACGAUCAGAUACCGUCGUAGUCUUAACCAUAAACUAUGCCGACUAGGGAUCGGAUGAUGUUAAUUUUUUAAUGACUCAUUCGGCGCCUUACG
rnacentral:rRNA from 1 species